rnacentral:rRNA from 1 species
UGACCGAUAGCGAACCAGUACCGUGAGGGAAAGGUGAAAAGUACCCCGACAAGGGGAGUGAAAUAGUACCUGAAACCGAAUGCCUACAAACAGUCGGAGCCCAAGAUACGUUCUGGGUGACGGCGUACCUUUUGUAUAAUGGGUCAGCGACUUAGUCUAACGAGCAAGCUUAAGCCGGUAGGUGUAGGCGUAGCGAAAGCGAGUCUGAAUAGGGCGUUUAGUUCGUUGGAUUAGACCCGAAACCGAGUGAUCUAGCCAUGAGCAGGCUGAAGGUAAGGUAACACUUACUGAAGGGCCGAACCCGUAUCUGUUGCAAUAGAUUGGGAUGACUUGUGGCUAGGGGUGAAAGGCCAAUCAAACUCGGAAAUAGCUGGUUCUCCGCGAAAUCUAUUUAGGUAGAGCGUUAGUCGAAUUCUCCAGGGGGUAGAGCACUGGAUGGGCUAGGGGUCCUCACCGGAUUACCAAACCUAACCAAACUCCGAAUACCUGGAAGAACUAACUAGCAGACACACGGCGGGUGCUAACGUCCGUCGUGGAGAGGGAAACAACCCUGACCACCAUCUAAGGUCCCCAAGUUAUGGCUAAGUGGGAAAGGAUGUGAGGAUCCCAAAACAACCAGGAUGUUGGCUUAGAAGCAGCCACCAUUUAGAGAAAGCGUAACAGCUCACUGGUCUAAAUAAGGGUCCCUGCGCCGAAAAUGUAACGGGGCUAAAGCCAUACACCGAAGCUGUGGAUUUACUCCUUAUGGAGUAAGUGGUAGCGGAGCGUUCCGUAAGCCUGUGAAGGGAGACUCGUGAGAGCUCCUGGAGGUAUCGGAAGUGAGAAUGCUGACAUGAGUAACGAUAAAGGGAGUGAGAGACUCCCUCGCCGAAAGUCCAAGGGUUCCUGCUUAAAGUUAAUCUGAGCAGGGUGAGUCGG